rnacentral:lncRNA from 1 species
GAGCUAUUGAAGUAGUCAUAUAGUCAAAAAACAAUCAAUAUGAUUUUUCCAGCUUGAGGUAGCUUUGGUGUAUUGUGUUCUUCAGUAUUGUCCCUCAUUAACUCAUCCUGAAAAAGAUAUUUUAGCCAUUUCAGAGUUUCUAGGGUUUUGUAUUUGUGUAUAUGUCUUGUGUAUCUUGUGUGUCUUACUAUGCAUGAACUGAAGAGUUUUUGGAAUAAAUAAGCUCUGAAAUAGGAUUAACUUUGUCAUAACAUACUGCCCUUACUUUCAGGAGGAAGAAGUUAAAGCUCCAUGUUUUGCCCCAAAGGGAAAAGUGUUAAAACUGACCUUUGAAACUAUAGGAUGAUAACAUUUAAAGGAAAUUUAAAGUUCAGCCACCACAAGUACUUGGCAGUUCUACCAUAUUCCUGACAAGAGAUCAUUCAUUCAACGAAUGCCUAAGUCCCUAGUGAUAAAGGACUUAAAUAUUUCCUCCAAUGAGAGAGUCUUACUGCUCCCAGUUUCUAUCUGGUUGACUUAUUUUGGGAACAACUUAGGAAUCUUUCUUCUACAUGAAUAGUCACAUAAAUAUUCCCAUAUAUUAAUAAAAACAGUUAUUACACAUCUAUAUUGUUAGUUUUUUGAGGGACCUCUGUAUCAUUUUCCAGAAUGGCUGUGCUAAUUUACAUUUACACCAACAGUGUAUAAGAUUCCCUUUUCUCCACACCCUCACCAAAACUUACUACCUUUUGCAUUUUUGAUAAAAGCCAUUCUAACAGGUGAAAUAUGGUAUUUCAUUGUGGUCUUAAUUUGUGUUUCUCUGAUGAUUAGCAAUGUUGAGGAUUUUUUCAUGUAUCCACUGGGCAUUUGUAUGUCUUCUUCAUGAGAAUGUGGGGAAUCAAAAACAAUUUAACUAAUAGAAGCAGAGAGUAGAAUGAUGUUUAUAGAGGCUGCGGGUGGGAGAAUGGAGAGAUGAUGCUCAAAAGGUACAAAAUCCUAGACAAGAGGAACAUGGUGUUUUUUCCCCCCUUUUUGGAGGUUCUAUUGCCCAACUUGUUGAAUAUAGUUAAUAGUAAGAGUGCUGUAAAUUUCAAAAUUGAUAAGAGAGUAAGUUUCAAAUGUUCUCAUUACAGAAAUGUUCCAUAUUUGAGGUGAUGAAUGUAUUAACUAGUUUGAUUUUUAAUUAUUUCACAUCUUGUUGAUUAUUACUUCACUUUGUAUGCCAUAAAAAUUAUAUAAUUAUAAAUGGUCGAUUUUAUAAUAGGAACAAAGUAUCAACUGGAAUGUCACAAAAAAUAAUUUAAAAAUAAAAAGAGUUCAGGCCCUUCCUGGGGCUUCUCUUUCUAAUUUAAAUGUCUCUUACUUUAAGAUUUACACUUGGCAGGUCAUGAGGUCAGGAGAUCGAGACCAUCCUGGCUAGCAUGGUAAAACCCCGU